rnacentral:rRNA from 1 species
UACGUAGGGGGCAAGCGUUGUCCGGAAUCAUUGGGCGUAAAGCGCGUGUAGGCGGCCCGAUUAGUCCGCUGUGAAAGUCCAGGGCUCAACCCUGGGAUGCCGGUGGAUACUGUCGGGCUCGAGUCCGGAAGAGGCGAGUGGAAUUCCUGGUGUAGCGGUGAAAUGCGCAGAUAUCAGGAGGAACACCAAUAGCGAAGGCAGCUCGCUGGGACGUUACUGACACUGAGGCGCGAAAGCGUGGGGAGCGAACAGG